ensembl:lncRNA
AUGAAUUGCAGACCAUGUCUUGCAUCAUGGACAGCUGAGGUGGUGGACAUGUUGUUUAGUGGUUACUGGCCAGGCACUGUCAAGUUUCAAACCAUAUACCAGGUAGACCUCUUUGCAUCGCUUGAGAUCACUGCACCUGGGCUUUCAAGACAAGCAUUUGUGAAAAUGUUACAACAGCGCUCACAACAAUUUGGAAGGAGUGGUAACAUUUGUGGCAACGUCUUCCAAAAAGCUUUCCUUGAAUGGACAUAUUGUCGUCAUAAAAGAGAAAAACUCUGCGGCAUUGAUCACUUCUCUUGCCCAGCUUGCACCCCAGAUACAGUUGCUGUGUCUGCAGAUGGAAACAGAAAACUAUACAGAUUCAGCAAAACAAAGGGGGCAGAGGAACAACCAUUUUUUGAUGGAGUUUUUCUGGCUAAUGACAAAGAUGUAGCAACAUUUGUUGAUUGUGUUCGUGAGAAGACCAUUCCAGUACAUGGAAAAGGCAUCUGUGGAACAUGAGCAUGGGCUGCAGCCAGGGAGACCUCUAAAAAGACAAACACUAAAUGUGAUGAAGAGGGCCUAGAGGUGGCAGUUUGCAGGCACAGCAUAUUAGGCUGAACAUGCCUAAUAAUUCAGCACUCCUGCAUAUAAGGAGUUUUUCACUUCCAGCCUUCAAAGACAAUUAUAUAUCACUCAUAAAUGAUUAAAUACCAAAUGUGUAGUAUUAUUUUUUUUAUGUCCCUAAAACUGACAGAAAAUGAUAAGGCCUAAGAGAAUUCUUAAGCUGUAAUGAUGAAAAAAAAAAAACAACACACAAUUACUGAUUUUUUUUUUCUUUUUCUUCUUUUUCUGGUGAUUAAAGAGAUAUUAACUCUCUCUCUCUCUCUCUCUCUCUCUCUCUCUCUCUCUGUCAGCCAGGCCCUCAACCACCCCCUCCCUCCCCCUCCCCCUCCCUUCCCUCACACAGAGAGAGUGGUCUCAGAGUGAGAUCAGAUGUCUGACAGUUUUUUAAUUUUCUGUUAUACAUACAGUGUUGUAAAAUCGUGAAACUAUGCAUAUUUCCUCAGAAUGAUAUGUUCUCUGUAUGAAAAAUGGUUUUGAAGUGUUUGCAAGCUGCAAUUUAAAAAAAAAACAAGACAAUUAAUGUUUCACUUUUUACUGUUUUUUCAAAAAAAUCACCAUGGCAAAACCGUUCAAGCUAUCCAAAAUCCAUUCGCAAUUUAAGUUCAUCAAUGUUUUGUCAUCAUGUAGAAAAAGUUUGGUGUGUAUAGUGUAAUUCUGCUCUGCGGAGUAUGCAUUAAUUCACAGCAAUAUUUUUCCAAAAAUCCACAUUUAAACCAAAAUAGCCGACUUCCUGUUGGUCAUAGCUGAUGACUGUAUGUUAGAAAGUUGUCCGUCUUGAUAAGAACAAUAUAUGUACCAUGUUUGGUGUCUGUAGCUAAAACUUACCCCCCCCCCCACUUUUGACAAAAGGUGGCACUAUAGAGUGCCUCCUCCACGCACUUUAAUGCGCUUUUGCCAUUGUCUAUCUGUCAUUAAUACUGAUAUGUUUUUUGAGUUUCAUGUAAUUCUGAGCAUGUUAUCUGCUUCAAAAUUACCAAAUUACCAAAAUUGCACUAAUUUCAACGCCUCACCAUGGGCAAACCGUUCGAGAUAUCAAAAAUCCCCUGGCAAUUUUGCAUCCCCAAUGUCUUGAGAUCAUCCUCAGAGGACUAUAUCAAAUUCCAGAGCAUGCUUUUUUUUAAACAGCCCUGAGCAGUGUGUGCCAAUUUUCAAGAGUUUUUGAGUAUGUUAAAGCCCCCAAAAACCCCCGGAAGGAUUAGGGAAAAAUAAAAAAAUAUAUAGCUGCA